GUCUACGGCCAUACCACCCUGAACAUGCCCGAUCUCGUCUGAUCUCAGGAGCUAAGCAGGGUCGGGCCUGGUUAGUACGUGGAUGGGAGACUGCCUGGGAAUACAGGGUGCUGUAGGCU
rnacentral:rRNA from 1 species